AUAUAUGCGUUAAUACACUAUAUUUGUUUUUCUCUUUCUGAUUUACUUUAUUGUGUAUGACAGUCUCUAGGUCCAUCCACGACUCUACAAAUGACCCACUUUCGUUCCUUAUAAUGUCUGAGUAGCAUUCCAUCGUGUAUACGUACCACAUC